rnacentral:tRNA from 1 species
UCUAUUAUGGUGUUAUUGCACAUGAAGAUUUGACUUUCAAAGAGAUUAAUAAUCUAAUAGAA